rnacentral:rRNA from 1 species
UACGGGAGGCAGCAGUGGGGAAUAUUGCACAAUGGGCGAAAGCCUGAUGCAGCUAUGCCGCGUGUAUGAAGAAGGCCUUAGGGUUGUAAAGUACUUUCAUCGGGGAGGAAAAAACAAAACUAAUAAUUUUAUUUCUUGACGUUACCCGAAAAAGAAGCACCGGCUAACUCCGUGCCAGCAGCCGCGGUAAUACGGAGGGUGCUAGCGUUAAUCAGAAUUACUGGGCGUAAAGAGCACGUAGGUGGUUUUUUUAAGGUCAGAUGUGAAAUCCCUGGGCUUAACCUGGAACUGCAUUUUGAAACUGAAAUACUAGAGUAUCGUAGAGGGAGGUAGAAUUCUAGGUGUAGCGGUGAAAUGCGUAGAUAUCUGGAGGAAUACCUGUGGCGAAAGCGGCCUCCUAAACGAAUACUGACACUGAGGGUGCGAAAGCGUGGGGAGCAAACAGGGAUUAGAUACC